rnacentral:rRNA from 1 species
CCAGCACCCCGAGUGGUCGGGACGUUUAUUGGGCCUAAAGCAUCCGUAGCCGGUUCUGCAAGUCUUCCGUUAAAUCCACCUGCUUAACAGAUGGGCCGCGGAAGAUACUAUAGAGCUAGGAGGCGGGAGAGGCAAGCGGUACUCGAUGGGUAGGGGUAAAAUCCGUUGAUCCAUUGAAGACCACAGUGGCGAAGGCGGCUUGCCAGAACGCGCUCGACGGUGAGGGAUGAAAGCUGGGGGAGCAAACCGGAUUAGAUACCCGGGUAGUCCCAGCUGUAAACGAUGCAGACUCGGUGAUGAAUUGGCUUUAUACCUAUUCAGUGCCGCAGGGAAGCCGUUAAGUUUGCCGCCUGGGGAGUACGGUCGCAAGACUG